GACGAACGCUGGCGGCGUGCUUAACACAUGCAAGUCGAACGGAAAGGCCCUGCUUUUGUGGGGUGCUCGAGUGGCGAACGGGUGAGUAACACGUGAGUAACCUGCCCUUGACUUUGGGAUAACUUCAGGGAACUGGGGCUAAUACCGGAUAGGAGCUCCUGCUGCAUGGGGGGGGUUGGAAAGUUUCGGCGGUUGGGGAUGGACUCGCGGCUUAUCAGCUUGUUGGUGGGGUAGUGGCUUACCAAGGCUUUGACGGGUAGCCGGCCUGAGAGGGUGACCGGCCACAUUGGGACUGAGAUACGGCCCAGACUCCUACGGGAGGCAGCAGUGGGGAAUAGUGCACAAUGGGCGGAAGCCUGAUGCAGCAACGCCGCGUGCGGGAUGACGGCCUUCGGGUUGUAAACCGCUUUCGCCUGUGACGAAGCGUGAGUGACGGUAAUGGGUAAAGAAGCACCGGCUAACUACGUG
rnacentral:rRNA from 1 species